AGAACUAAACCCUAAUUCUUCGUUUGUCUGCUGAGGAACUCCAUGAAAAGUGAAAAAAGAUCGAAAUAAAAAAUCUUCCCUAAUAACAUGACUGUUCGGGUCAAUCCAUAUUGAGAAGAUGAAAAAACAGCAACCAGAAGUUCUCCCCCGUUUUUCUUUCAAUUUUUUUUCUUAGGAACCAAACAGAAAUCAGUGAAAGAAAAUGGAAACACAAUCUGAAGACGUAGUUUAUAGAUUUCAGAAUUAGACAAAUAAAUUCAAUGGAAAUUAAAAUUUUAGAGAUUUCUGUUGAACUAAGAAAUGACAACCA
rnacentral:misc_RNA from 1 species